UAUCACGUUGAAACAUCGGUUUCUGUACGAUCAACGAAGUUAAGUAACGUCAAGCCUGGUCAGUACCUAGAUGGGCGACAGUUUGGGAAUACCAGGUGAUGUAAG